UGAAUACGAGACGCUAAGGCGUCGAAGUAGUGUAUGUCAUACUUCCAAGAAAAGCUUGCACUGUCAUAAGUAAAAAAUGCCUGUACCAUAACCGACACAGGUGGGUAGGUAGAGUAUACUAAGGGGCGCGAGAUAACUCUCUCUAAGGAACUCGGCAAAAUAACUCCGUAACUUCGGGAGAAGGAGUACCUUAUUCUAUAAGGUUGCAAUAACAAGAUCCAAGCAACUGUUUAUCAAAAACACAGGUCUCCGCUAAGUCGUAAGACGAUGUAUGGGGGCUGACGCCUGCCCAGUGCCAGAAGGUUAAAGAAGUCGGUUAGCAUUAGCGAAGCUGGUAACUGAAGCCCUGGUGAACGGCGGCCGUAACAAUAACGGUCCUAAGGUAGCGAAAUUCCUUGUCGGGUAAGUUCCGACCCGCACGAAAGGCGUAAUGAUUUGGAUACUGUCUCGGAGAGGGGCUCGGUGAAAUAGACUUGUCUGUGAAGAUGCGGACUACCUGCACCAGGACAGAAAGACCCUAUGAAGCUUUACUGUAACUUGAAAUUGAAAUCGGACUUUAUUCGCGCAGUAUAGGUGGGAGGUGUUGAUUAUAAUCUUGCGGGAUUAUUGGAGCCAUCAGUGAGAUACCACUCUUGUAAUGUUAGAUUUCUAACUUUGAAUCAUUAUCUGGUCAAAGGACAGUUUCAGGCGGGCAGUUUGACUGGGGCGGUCGCCUCCCAAACGGUAACGGAGGCGUACAAAGGUUUCCUCUGAACGGGUAGAAAUCGUAUCUAGAGUGUAAAGGCAUAAGGAAGCUUGACUGUGAGACCUACAAGUCGAACAGGGACGAAAGUCGGUCUUAGUGAUCUGACGGUACUGAGUGGAAAGGCCGUCACUCAACGGAUAAAAGUUACUCUAGGAUAACAGGCUGAUCUCCCCCAAGAGUUCACAUCGACGGGGAGGUUUGGCACCUCGAUGUCGGCUCAUCGCACCCUGGGGCGGUAGUACGUCCCAAGGGUUGGGCUGUUCGCCCAUGAAAGCGGUACGCGAGCUGGGUUCAGAACGUCGUGAGACAGUUCGGUCCAUAUCCGGUGUAGGCGUUAGAAUAUUGAGAGGAGCCUUCUUUAGUACGAGAGGACCGAGAAGGACAUACCUCUGGUGUACCAGUUAUCGUGCCAACGGUAAACGCUGGGUAGCUAUGUAUGGAGUGGAUAACCGCUGAAAGCAUCUAAGUGGGAAGCCCACCUCAAGAUAAGUAUUCUCAU
rnacentral:rRNA from 1 species